rnacentral:rRNA from 1 species
UUCCGGUUGAUCCUGCCGGACCCUACUGCUAUCGGGGCGGGACUAAGACAUGCAAGUCGUGCGUCUCUAAGCUAUGGUAGAGACGCGGCGUACGGCUCAGUAACACGUGGCUAACCUACCCUUAGGACGGAGACAACCCCGGGAAACUGGGGCUAAUACCUGAUAGGUGAGGAGGCCUGGAAUGGUUCUUCGCUGAAAAGGCGUUGAAACCAUGCUUUUCAACGUCGCCUAAGGAUGGGGCCGCGUCCGAUCAGGUUGUUGGUGGGGUAACGGCUCACCAAGCCUAUAACCGGUACGGGCCGUGAGAGCGGGAGCCCGGAGAUGGGCACUGAGAUAAGGGCCCAGGCCCUACGGGGCGCAGCAGUCGCGAAAACUCCGCAAUGCGCGAAAGCGUGACGGGGCUACCCCGAGUGCCGUCCGCUGAGGAUGGCUUUUCCCCGGUGUAAUGAGCCGGGGGAAUAAGGAGAGGGCAAGUCUGGUGUCAGCCGCCGCGGUAAUACCAGCUCUCCGAGUAGUAGGGACGAUUAUUGGGCUUAAAGCGUCCGUAGCCGGCUUAGCAAGUCUCCUGUUAAAUUCAGCGACCUAAUCGUUGAGCCGCGGGAGAUACUACUAGGCUAGGAGGCGGGAGAGGCCGACGGUAUUCCCGGGGUAGGGGUGAAAUCCUAUAAUCCCGGGAGGACCACCAGUGGCGAAGGCUGUCGGCUAGAACGCGCUCGACGGUGAGGGACGAAAGCUGGGGGAGCGAACCGGAUUAGAUACCCGGGUAGUCCCAGCUGUAAACGAUGCGGGCUAGUGUUGAGUGCUACGAGCCACUUCAGUGCGCAGGGAGCCAUUAAGCCGCGCCUGGGGAGUACGGCGCAGCUGAACUAAAGGAUGCGGGGAGCACACAGCGUGAGCUGCGUUAAUGGAAUCAACGCGG